AUUGAACGCUGGCGGCAGGCCUAACACAUGCAAGUCGAACGAGUGGCGGACGGGUGAGUAAUGUCUGGGAAUCUGUCUUAUGGAGGGGGAUAACUACUGGAAACGGUAGCUAAUACCGCGUACCAUAAGAUGUGCCCAGGUGGGAUUAGCUAGUUGGUGGGGUAAAGGCUCACCAAGCCGACGAUCACUAGCUGGUCUGAGAGGAUGACCAGCCACCCUGGAACUGAGACACGGCCCAGACUCCUACGGGAGGCAGCAGUGGGGAAUAUGGCGCAAGGGGGGCAAGCCUGAUGCAGCCAUGCCGCGUGUAUGAAGAAGGCCUUCGGGUUGUAAAGUACUUUCAGUGGGGAGGCGUUACCCGCAGAAGAAGCACCGGCUAACUCCGUGCCAGCAGCCGCGGUAAUAC
rnacentral:rRNA from 1 species